UUAAGUUCAGCGGGUAGUCCUACCUGAUUUGAGGUCAGAUUGUCAAAGUAAUGUCAUGUGAACGACAAUUAGAAGCGAAGCUUCAAGACAUGCUGCCCCCCUAAUGGCGAUGAUAGUUAUCACACCAAAAGGUCAGCAACAAAAGCCCCGCUAAUAUGUUUAAGGACAGCAGGCCGUUGUAAGGCCUGCAAAAUCCCAAU
rnacentral:misc_RNA from 1 species